rnacentral:lncRNA from 1 species
GUGUCAUUUUUGUGCAUUGUAGUGGCCAGUGUCACAGGUCAGACACCUGCGGCUGCACCAGCCAAAGCACCAGUUGGUGCUAAGGCUACUACACCACCAGCUGCUGCUCCCACAAAGCCUAAAACUCCUGCCCCUGCUACUGCACCUGCCUCAGCUCCACCCACAGCUGUUUCUACUCCUCCAGCAGCUGCACCAGCCACUGCUCCUACUACCCCUGUUGUUACUCCACCUGUAUCAGCACCACCAGCUAAAACACCAGCUAGUUCUCCACCAGCUGCAGUGCCUGUGAGUUCACCACCACCAGCGGUUACACCGGUGCAAUCUCCACCAGCACCAGCUCCGGUAGCAGCGACACCACCAGCUGCAUCUGCUCCACCUGCUCCUGUUCCAGUUUUAGCACCUGCUGUUUCGGAGACAGUACCAGCUCCUGCUCCUAGCAAGAGCAAGGGCAAGGGAAAGAAGAAGGGGAAGAAACAUGCAUCUUCACCAGCACCUUCUCCUGAUAUGAUGAGCCCACCUGCUCCUCCUACUGAAGCUCCUGGACCUAGCAUGGAUUCCGACUCUCCCAGUCCAUCUCUCAACGAUGAGGUACGUAAUCUCAUUAAUUCUUUUUCUUUUUAGUUUAAUCUAUCUUCUUUUACAGUCUAAUUAAUUAAGAUACGCUCGACCGCUAAUGUUCUUCCAGAUCUAAUAAUAACUUAAUUCAUUUUUCUAGUGACCCAAGAUUUACAGAUAACGGGUGUAUAUUUAUAUUCAAUCUAAAUUUGCUUUAUAUAUAGAAGGUAUAUAGAUAUAUGUACUUUUUUAAGACAUAACACAUACCCAUAGAAUUUUUACUUAAUUUUAUCGGUAUCGGUGGCCUCUUAUUCUAUGACAUAGGUCUGCGAAUGGGACUUACACUAGUAUUCUAGUAUGCAUAGAAUUUAACAGGUUGUAAAAUUCAUCUUUAAAUAAUUAUGGUUUUCGUUCCUCAUUUAACUUAGUAGAUGUGUAGUUGAAUGUUAGGUGAUCGAUCGGGAUUGGGCACAUAUUGGUCCAUUAGGGAACAUUUACAUUUAUAGCUGCACAUUUAAAUUCAUUUGAAUAUUUUGACGCUGCGUACGUUAGUAUUCUGCGGAUGUAGAUCAAUUAAAGAACAAUUACGUUUUACAGCUGCACAAGCUGGUCUUUAUUAAAGACACGUCCAUCUGUUGCACAUUUGAUGGCAUCUGAAGAUGUGACUUUUCAUAGCAUGGUUAACACACUUGCACAUUGACAUUUGAUGUCUGUUAAUUCGUGUAUUGGUCACCGAGGCGCACAAUAGCAUAUGGUGUCGGUGGAAUUUUGUUAAUACUAAUGCAUAGAGUUAUUAGCUUACGUAUUAAUUAGCUCACUGCACGGAGACAGCCAAAGAUUCUUCUGAUCUUCCCUUUUUUUUAACUGGCUUCUGAUCUUCUUUAAUUGUAGUGUUUUCGAAACCAAACAGUAAUAUUUUCGAGAAAGCACAUCAUUGGUCGCUAAGCACGAGGCAGCAGUGGUGGUGUCUUUUUAAUGCACAUGCACACGAAACCUGUGCCGUG